AACGCGAAGAACCUUACCCAGACUUGACAUGCAGUGGACGAUACUAGAAAUAGUAUUUCUCUUCGGAGCCGCUGCACAGGUGCUGCAUGGCUGUCGUCAGCUCGUGCCGUGAGGUGUUUGGUUAAGUCCAGCAACGAGCGCAACCCUUAUCAUUAGUUGCCAGCAUUUCGGAUGGGCACUCUAGUGAGACUGCCUGGGUUAACCAGGAGGAAGGUGAGGAUGACGUCAAGUCCGCAUGGCCCUUAUGUCUGGGGCUACACACGUGCUACAAUGGUCGGUACAGAAGGCAGCGAAGCCGCGAGGCGUAGCAAAUCCCAAAAGCCGAUCCCAGUUCAGAUUGUAGUCUGCAACUCGACUACAUGAAGUUGGAAUUGCUAGUAAUGGCAGGUCAGCACACUGCCGUGAAUACGUUCCCGGGCCUUGUACACACCGCGAGC
rnacentral:rRNA from 1 species